GCCUACGGGGGGCAGCAGUGAGGAAUAUUGGUCAAUGGGUGCGAGCCUGAACCAGCCAAGUCGCGUGAGGGAGGACGGCCCUACGGGUUGUAAACCUCUUUUGCCGGGGAGCAACGGGCGUCACGUGUGGCGCCACUGAGAGUACCCGGAGAAAAAGCAUCGGCUAACUCCGUGCCAGCAGCCGCGGUAAUACGGAGGAUGCGAGCGUUAUCCGGAUUUAUUGGGUUUAAAGGGAGCGUAGACGGCCAUGCAAGCCUGGAGUGAAAGCCCGGGGCCCAACCCCGGGACUGCUCUGGGAACUGUGC
rnacentral:rRNA from 1 species